CCUACGGGAGGUGCUGGUGGGGAAUAUUGCGUGGGUUCCGAAACCCUGACGCACCAACGCCGCGUGAGUGAUGAAGGUCUUCGGAUUGAAAAGCUCUGUCUUCAGGGACGAUAAUGAGCGUACCGGAUGAGGAAGCCGCGGCUAACUACCCACUGCUGCCCGCGGUAAU
rnacentral:rRNA from 1 species